UACGUAGGGGGCGAGCGUUGUCCGGAUUCAUUGGGCGUAAAGAGCUCGUAGGCGGUUUGUUGCGUCGGCUGUGAAAUCCCGAGGCUCAACCUCGGGUCUGCAGUCGAUACGAGCAAACUAGAGUGUUGCAGGGGAGACUGGAAUUCCUGGUGUAGCGGUGAAAUGCGCAGAUAUCAGGAGGAACACCGGUGGCGAAGGCGGGUCUCUGGGCAACAACUGACGCUGAGGAGCGAAAGCGUGGGGAGCGAACAGG
rnacentral:rRNA from 1 species